rnacentral:lncRNA from 1 species
UCUUUUCUCUCUCUAUUUUCUCUCUCUAUUUUACCUCUUUCCAUGCUUGAUUCAACUCCGAUUCACCAUGUUUACAGGUGCAAUAACAAAAUGAGAGAGGAAUUUUAGAUCAGUUAAAAGUUUGAAUCAAAAAUCUACUCGGAGCCUGCUUUACAUGGUAUCAAAGCCUGGAUCUUUCUCCUGGACAUUCUCUCUAUCUUCCCCGUUCUUUUGGUUUGAGUUCAUGGCGUUAUCGGUGGUGAUUUCUAGGUUUUUUUUUCAAAGUUAUCGGUGAAGAUUCUAGAUUUUUUUUGACAUUUUGGUGAAAUCGGAGUUGUUUUGUUGCCGAUUCUUCCAAUGAGGUGGUAGGGUGAUUUUCCGACACCUCUUGUGCCUGAUUCCACCGGGUUUUUCUGCAAGCUAGGGUUUCCUGACAACGAAGCUAGGGUUUUCUUCACACGCUAGGGUUUCUCUGCAAUUUUUUGAAGGCCGUAUCUUCUCCGGUUGCGUAGAAGUAUGGUAACCAUAUUAUCCCACUAGAUUAGGGCUUGCAUGUACCUUUGUUGCUGUAUUGUGUAGCUCAUAGUUAUUGGAUCUCUCUUUUCGCAUCCCUAUUAUCCUGUAUCCGAUGGCAGAUGUGAACCCUGUUAACCUCAUAGUUAUUGUAUCUCUCUUUUUUCAUCCCUAUUAUCCUGUAUCCGAUGAUAGAUGUGAACCCUGUUAAUCCCUCACCUAUUGACCCUACAAAUCCUCUAUUUGUUUACUCUUCUGAUGUCCCUGGAGUUUCUCUUGUUCCUAUCCCUUUCUCGGGUACUGGCUAUGGGGGUUGGAAGAGAAAAGUGAUAGUCGCCUUAUAUGCUAGGAACAAAAUUGCUUUUGUUGAUGGAACUUGUCCUAGACCAACCACUAAUCUGGCUGAACAGAGACUAUCGGACAGAUGCAAUAAGAUGGUCAUCUCCUGGUUGACUGCCUCUCUGUCCCCUCAAAUUGCUGAAAGUGUCCAAUACUCUGAGACUGCACAAAGUAUAUGGGCACAACUCGAAGCCAGAUAUGGCACAACCAAUAGGACCAAUAUUUUUGAACUGAAACGAGAACUUUCUCAUUCUUCUCAAGGACCCCUAGAUAUAACCUCCUAUUUCAACAAACUCAAAGGGUUAUGGGAUGAGUUAGGGACAAUGUGCCCAAAUCAUGGACAUAGAUGUAUCUGUGCUGCCAAACCUGGCAUUAUAAAAGAGGAUGAGGAGAAUAAGGUAUUUCAAUUCCUCAUGGGUCUUAAUGAGACAUAUAUGGGGGUGAGGAGCAACUUGUUAAUGAUGCAACCUCCUCCUAGUCGUGUUUCAAUUCCUCAUGGGUCUUAAUGAGACAUAUAUGGGGGUGAGGAGCAACUUAUUAAUGAUGCAACCUCCUCCUAGUCUUGACAGUGUGUAUAACAUUCUCCUCAAUGAUGAAAAACAGAGACAAGUUCAGUCUGUCUCCCAGUUCAAUCCUGAUUCUAUGUCCUUCAAUGUUAAUACACAUAAACCUUCCACACCUUCCUUCAGUCCAGCUCCCUUGCUCACCUCUCCUCCUCCCAGACAGUAUGCCCAGAGAGUCAGUUUUGAUCAGUCCAGAGGACCCCUAAUCUGUAGAUAUGGCAAGAAGUCUGGGCACUUAAUUGAUAAGUGCUACAAACUUCAUGGUUUUCCUCAAAGCAUCAGAUUUAACAAAGGCAAGAGACCCACUGCUGCUCAUGUCACUACUGGUGUUGACUUCACAUCGUCUCCUUAUUCUGCUGGCCAUAAUCCUCCUGCCUUUGGAAUUCAUACUGAGGGUUAUUCACCUGUCCAGCAUGUGGAUGGACAUAAUUCUUCCAUUCCUGGGUUGAGCAGACACAAUUAUGAUCAGUUGAUUUCCUGCCUCUGGAAUUCAUACUGAGGGUUAUUUACAUGUCCAGCAUGUGGUUGGACAUAAUUAUGCUAUUCCUAGGUUGAGCAGACACCAUUAUGAUCAGUUGAUGAAUCUGCUCCAACAGUCCAAUUUAGGUGAAUCCACUGCUCAGACUUCUCCUGCUCAGCCAUCCCCUACUAUAUGUGCUACCAAUUUUGCUGGUACUAUGCUUACUGAGACUCCUGUUUUUAAUUCUAAACUCUGAUUGCUUACUCAUAUUGCUUCUGUUUCCUGGAUAAUAGAUUCUGGAGCUUCUGACCACAUGACA